GCAGCCGCCACCGCCGCAGCUUCUUCCCAUCGGACUAAUAACUCCUCUCCCCCUCCCCCUGUCAUCCUCCUCCAAAACAAAACCGCGCGCAGCACACACACAAACCGUGUAGGGGAGUCAGCAGCACCUCGCUUAGGCGUAGGGCUGGUUCCUGCAACUUCUAGCCCCGUCUCAGAUGUGAGUCAGAGUGAGGUGCCCUUUCGGGGGGGUGGGAGUGUGGCAUUUGCUUAUUAGCGAGGGGUGCAGUGGUUGCAGCUCAGGGCUGAUUUGAUUUCUUCCCCCCCCCCAAGGCACUCCCUUUGAAUGGGGCUGGAAAGUUGCGAAGCGGGCUGGGCGGCAUGAGAAAGUUUAAACGCUAAGCGAGGAGAGAUCCUUUGUUCUGCUAGGGGGGACCUUUGGAGAGGGUGGCUGAGCCAGACACGUCCAGGUCAGAAGCGAUCGACAGCAAUUAGCCUUUCCCGUCAAACGCCUCCCUCCACCCAAAGGAGCCAGGCGCUGGGAGGAGGAAAGCGGAAGGUGUAUCAAUCACACCAAGGUAAAGUGUGAUUGUCAGAGAAGCUUGAUGGCUGCCAAAACACCUUACAGCAAUAGGUGCCAUAUUGCAUUUGCUCUUCAAAUGGUGGAAUACAGCUGUGGAUGCUUUAGUUGGGAGUAACAGAGUACAAACUAAAGACAUCAAACAUCGUCAUUUGGAUUUAUACAUCUAUUAACAAACUGAUGGUAGUGGCUCUUGAAGAAAUCAGAAAAUAUGGAAGGUGCUGUUGAAAAUGGUCUGGAGGUUGCUUUGACAAUGAUAUUCUACAAUUAAAAUAAGGGAAUUGGCCAUAUCUCUUUCUUUUGCCCGGUUGCUGAAGCAUUGUCACAGGACAGCAAGGAUUGAUGAAUAUUCUUCAGUAUAGGUUCAAAGCAAGAAAUUUGAGAAUCUAGAGGAGCCAAACAAAGAUAAAUAGUGAGCUGAUUUUCCAAACUGGCAUUGACAUACUAGGAUUUGGAAGAAGUACGCUUGUAUGAGUCAUGUCAGUACAGUGAAAGAGGAGGAUUUAUAUUUUUGAAGGGGGAUUGUGUAUGUGAUCAAAGGAUUUACAUGCAGCUCUCUGUGCUGUAGUUCCUUCCUGCUCCAGGAAGGACACCUGGGGUUUCCCUGGAUAGGAACGAGGCCCAAAAGUCAAGCCAGUCUUCCUGAGUGAGAGACCUGCUCAGAAACUGCUCACUGAAGGACAGUAGGUCUUGCCUGUCACUCUUGCUGUUAUGGCAGGAGGUAUUACAAUGGUGACCAAGCUAUGUCCAGGUUAUGCCUUUCUUCAGAUACUAAGGACUGCAGGAACUCAUUUAUCGUUAAAUUUGAAAUAGGCAUUGGUCUGAUGUGCAUCUUGGGUGAUACUACAACAUGCUCCUGGCAUAUUGGCAGGCUUCGAGUUGCGCUGUUUGGAAGAAGCAACGUCGUCUUCUCUCACAGCUACGACGCGGCACCGCUCUCAGCAUAUCCUGCUUUUUUCCCCCAUUUACCUGGGCGGCUUCUGCUGUUUCUGUUGCUGCUGCUGGGGCUGCUGCAGUUUUGCUGCCUGUGCUUCACCCUGGCAUGUCUGAGUCGGGAAUCACUCGUCUGCACGCUGCUAAGGAAGAGCAGCGAUGGAACUCUGGCCACAUUUUAUUUUUCUGGAAGAGAGGGGUUGUGAUGUGGGGUGGGGGUUUUUUUUGGAAGGGUGGGGACAUUAAUCCAAAGUGAGG